rnacentral:rRNA from 1 species
GACGAACGCUGGCGGCGUGCCUAAUACAUGCAAGUUGAGCGAUGAAGCUUGGUGCUUGCACCAAUUUGAAGAGCAGCUAACGGGUGAGUAACGCGUGGGUAAUCUGCCUUUUAUCGGUGGACAACAUUUGGAAACGAAUGCUAAUACCGCAUAACAACUUUAAACAUAAGUUUUAAGUUUGAAAGAUGCAUUUGCAUCACUCAAAGAUGAUCCCGCGUUGUAUUAGCUAGUUGGUGAGGUAAAGGCUCACCAAGGCGAUGAUACAUAGCCGACCUGGGUGGGUGAUCGGCCACAACGGGACUUGGACACGGCCCAAAAUCCUACGGGAGGCAGCAGUAGGGAAUCUUCGGCAAUGGACGAAAGGCUGACCGAGGAACGACGCGGGAGUGAAGAAGGGUUUCGGGUCGUAAAACUCGGUUGGUAGAGAAGAAAGUUGGUGAGAGUGGAAAGCUCAUCAAGUGACGGUAACUACACAGAAAGGGACGGCUAACUACGUG